rnacentral:rRNA from 1 species
CCUACGGGGGACAGCAGUGAGGAAUAUUGGUCAAUGGGCGCGAGCCUGAACCAGCCAAGUCGCGUGAGGGAAGACGGUCCUAUGGAUUGUAAACCUCUUUUGUCGGGGAGCAAAAGACGCCACGCGUGGCGUUCCGAGAGUACCCGAAGAAAAAGCAUCGGCUAACUCCGUGCCAGCAGCCGCGGUAAUACGGAGGAUGCUAGCGUUAUCCGGAUUUAGUGGGUUUAAAGGGUGCGCAGGCGGAAGAUGAAGUCAGCGGUAAAAUUGAGAGGCUCAACCUCUUCGAGCCGUUGAAACUGGUUUUCUUGAGUGAGCGAGAAGUAUGCGGAAUGCGUGGUGUAGCGGUGAAAUGCAUAGAUAUCACGCAGAACUCCGAUUGCGAAGGCAGCAUACCGGCGCUCAACUGACGCUCAUGCACGAAAGUGUGGGUAUCGAACAGGAUUAGAUACCCCUGUAGUC